AAUAGAUACCCCGGUAGUCCACGCCGUAAACGAUGAGUGCUAAGUGUUAGAGGGUUUCCGCCCUUUAGUGCUGAAGUUAACGCAUUAAGCACUCCGCCUGGGGAGUACGGCCGCAAGGCUGAAACUCAAAGGAAUUGACGGGGGCCCGCACAAGCGGUGGAGCAUGUGGUUUAAUUCGAAGCAACGCGAAGAACCUUACCAGGUCUUGACAUCCUCUGACAACCCUAGAGAUAGGGCUUCUCCUUCGGGAGCAGAGUGACAGGUGGUGCAUGGUUGUCGUCAGCUCGUGUCGUGAGAUGUUGGGUUAAGUCCCGCAACGAGCGCAACCCUUGAUCUUAGUUGCCAUCAUUCAGUUGGGCACUCUAAGGUGACUGCCGGUGACAAACCGGAGGAAGGUGGGGAUGACGUCAAAUCAUCAUGCCCCUUAUGACCUGGGCUACACACGUGCUACAAUGGACGGUACAAAGAGCUGCAAGACCGCGAGGUGGAGCUAAUCUCAUAAAACCGUUCUCAGUUCGGAUUGUAGGCUUGA
rnacentral:rRNA from 1 species